GAGGGCCUGUGGUUCUGUGGCAGAGCUCCUGCUUGGCAUGCAGGAGGUCUCAGGUUCAAUUCCCACCAUCUUCA
rnacentral:tRNA from 1 species